UUGGAGCAUUGCAACAGGGCUUUCAAAGAUGAUGUACACACAUACAAGGGGAGGUACACAGAUAAAAGACGAUUCUCAAAGUCAGCAGAAGUGCGCUGUCAAUGGAAGAAUUAUACCAAAAAUACGACAAAUUGGCAUUCCGCAAGAAAAGUUCGGGAAGGCAUGGAGUUGUUGAUCCUUCUUGGUGAUAUUCUUAAACUUGUAGAACAAUUCCAUUCCUAUGCAGCUCUAUUCAAUAAGGCCAACAAGCCACUGCCACAGAGAAAUCAAAAACAUGCUGAGUGACAUCCAAAAUUGGAUUUCAGAAAGUCUUAAAGUCUUCAGUAGCCGCACAUACUAUAACAUCUGAACCUUUUUUCCCGAUUUGUAAUUCAGUGUCACAUGAUUAAAACGAGACCCUGUUGCAAAGUCGCUAUCACUGUAUGUUUCAUGAUCUUCAUGUUCUGAGUCUGAGUGAGAUGAUGAGCUAUCACUCGAGUCAAGGGAAGUUUUGUACAACUCAAGAAUAUCACAUCUACAUUCACUACAUGGGGUAUUGCAUGUCCAUGAGUCUCUGCAGUCACCGAGACACUUGCAAGAUAUGGCACAGUUGUCCAUAGCACUCAUGACUUCAGUAAAGCUCAACUCGUCGACAUACGUUGGUUCUGACAUACUGUUUCAUUUCAUCCGAAAUAUUCCGCCUGCCACUGAGACAUUGUCUAAAUUUCAUGAGAAGAGCAUGUGCCUGCUUUUCUGGAUCCCUGCCUGCUCCGUCCUUGUCUCUUGAAUAUAAUCCUCAACAUUAUUGGCUGGACCAUAGUGGAUGACGGUUUCCACACUUUCUUAGCAUUGUGUAUACACAACGUAAUUAACGGAUUCUGACAUCAGCCACAUAUCUCGGACCACCCCACGAGUCUCUCUUAACCGUUCAAUUAACGUUCCGCUUGGUGUUGCCACACCUGUCCGCCAUCUGCUGUUGAGAUACUGUAACGGUUCUCGUCUGAAAAGAGGACUUCUCCCACUGCUGGUGCUGUGCUACCCACUGAAGACGGUCCAGGAAACAAAGAAGAAGACUGAAAGGAUACCACUGGGAGUGCUUCAGUGAGGACCUCAGUGACCGUUCUCCAUCACAGUAGGUGCUCAGCGGAGGGGACUACCUCACCCUUGAGAGGCAGAAACAAGCCAAUCAUGCACUUACGAGAUGGACCUACACCAAGUUCCAGAUUACAAGGACUUGUUCCAAAGAUGGAAGAGUUCCAUAACGAAGCUGAAUUUCUAAAGGUUAUAUGGAAACACUUGUACUCGUCCUCCUCUAACAAGUCUGUUUGGCACUCUGCAUGCUGCAAAGGAGCACAAUAAUGUGAAUGUUACUCAGGAUCCUCAUGACAACUUUUACCCAUGCUCUGAAUUCAUGGACAAGGUCACCACCGCCUACAUCGUAACUGGGGGACUACAUUACUUCCAAAUGGAACACCUCACUUCUGUCCCAACGUCAAGUUACAUGGGUGCUGUUGGCAAUCCAUAUAAAAUGAUUGAUUAUUUUCUAGGUCAUGCAGCAAAACAGUUUGUAGACAAGCACAUCUUACCGGAGGUUCCUCAACAGCCAGGUCAUGGUCUCCAAAUCAAACACACUAGCCUGCAGGUACUGUGGAAAACUGUACCAGAGACCAAAAGCUCUCCGCAAACACGAAGCAUCCGGAAUAUAAUGCUGAAAACAAUCAGGAUUCCACAUCUUCAGCAGAAUCAAGAUCAUCUAUUUAUCAGUACACCCGUCUGUCUCUCAUGCUUGGGCUUCUUCGAAUAAAUCACAACGAUUCCAUUCACAUGGGAGAUGGUGGCAGGCAUGAUGAGACUAGUAAAGUGGUUCUGUCUAUACUACAAGGCAAGCAAAUGUCCAAAGUAUGCACAUGGUCUCCUUUGAAACACAGGCAAAGGCAUAUGCUCUCCUAUAUGAACGGCAGGCUUUAUAGAUUGAUAUGGAACCGCACAGUCAACCAUCAAGGCAGAGAAGACACCAAUCAUCCCAUCGACCUUGACUUGGAGCAUUGCAACAGGGCUUUCAAAGAUGAUGUACACACAUACAAGGGGAGGUACACAGAUAAAAGACGAUUCUCAAAGUCAGCAGAAGUGCGCUGUCAAUGGAAGAAUUAUGCCAAAAAUACGACAAAUUGGCAUUCCGCUAGAAAAGUUCGGGAAGGCAUGGAGUUGUUGAUCCUUCUUGGUGAUAUUCUUAAACUUGUAGAACAAUUCCAUUCCUAUGCAGCUCUAUUCAAUGAGGCCAACAAGCCACUGCCACAGAGAAAUCAAAAACAUGCCGAGUGACAUCCAAAAUUGGAUUUCAGAAAGUCUUAAAGUCUUCAGUAGCCGCACAUACUAUAACAUCUGAACCUUUUUUCCCGAUGUGUAAUUCAGUGUCACAUGAUUAAAACGAGACCCUGUUGCAAAGUCGCUAUCACUGUAUGUUUCAUGAUCUUCAUGUUCUGAGUCUGAGUGAGAUGAUGAGCUAUCACUCGAGUCAAGGGAAGUUUUGUACAACUCAAGAAUAUCACAUCUACAUUCACUACAUGGGGUAUUGCAUGUCCAUGAGUCUCUGCAGUCACCGAGACACUUGCAAGAUAUGGCACAGUUGUCCAUAGCACUCAUGACUUCAGUAAAGCUCAACUCGUCGACAUACGUUGGUUCUGACAUACUGUUUCAUUUCAUCCGAAAUAUUCCGCCUGCCACUGAGACAUUGUCUAAAUUUCAUGAGAAGAGCAUGUGCCUGCUUUUCUGGAUCCCUGCCUGCUCCGUCCUUGUCUCUUGAAUAUAAUCCUCAACAUUAUUGGCUGGACCAAAGUGGAUGACGGUUUCCACACUUUGUAAGUCCCAAGCUGAAUGGUGUUGAGCAAUGGACUAUCAAGGGACUAUCAUCCUCUUGAAACCAUUUGGAUCCAUGAAGGACUCUGACACACUUCCCUGUUUUCCUUCUCAUUCAUACAUAUUCUGUAUGUUGUUAUGCAUGAUUGAUGUUGAACUUUAAUUGAAACUUUAGCUUGAAAAUUGGCCGAUUUCUUUUAUGAAAUUUAACUCCUUAUAAGAAUAAGAUCAACAUAUGCAAAAACAAUUGUUGUUAGAUGAUUAUUUUUUUGUAACUGAUCAACAAGAUCAACUUUAGUGUUUUAGUGUUUUAACUUAGCUAAUGUAAUGUAAUACAGUGGAUGUAUGCAUUCCUUUUUCAUAAGGGCAUUAACAUAUAUUACAUAAUGCCUCUACCUGGGACUGCGGCCAAACUUACAAAAUUAACCCUUGUUUGAGAGUAACAAGUAUCAAGUUCAUGAUGAUUGUAGAAGUGAUUGUAUGUAUUCAUAAAUGUGACACAUGCACAUUUUGAAAUGUUAAUAUUUGUGCUUUAACUUUGAUUUGAUGAAUAUCAAAUUAGAUAUUGUAUACACUUUAUAGCUACUUGUGAUCAGUGCACAUUUUUAUACCUUUAGAUUGUGCAGU
rnacentral:lncRNA from 1 species